rnacentral:snoRNA from 1 species
UGUGUCUCUGAUGAUAAAUUGGCUCCCUCUACUGAAGUCUCUUGAGGAUAACUGCCAUUCGUUACCCAAUAUUCUGUCUGAGAUGAA